AAGUUCUUGGAAAAAAAGUUAUUUCAGAGAUGGCCCUAUGCAAAGAAAAAAUAUGAAAGUCUUAAGGAAACAAAAGAUGGAAAAAACAUAAACUUUAUUACAGAAGGCAUAAAUUCUGUGAUUCAAUUGCGAAAUGAUCUGUCUCUAAUUCUUUUUUACGAUUAUUAUUACAAAAAUAAAGCAAAUCAAAAUUACUUCGACUUAAUUGCUAAUGUAUUAACAUUCGAAAAUGUAAUGAAACUCAUCGGUAAUAUCGAUAAAUAUAUAAAUCAAAUUAUUCCUAAACGUACACAUGAGCCUACAGAUGUGCUAAAAUAUAUGUUUUAUAUUGACGAGAUUAAAUGCUUGUUUACACAAUCUCCACGAGGAAUUGAUUGCAAAUCAAUCGAAAGAUAUUGCAAUAUACAAAUGUCUCACUAUGAAAAGCUAUCUUCGAUACAAAAUGAGUUGGACAGAUAUAUAAAGAAACCUGAAAGAGAACAGC